UUGUUGUGUAAGUGGAAAAUUGGAAAACGCAUGACCAGUAUCUGUUGCGAAGGUGAAAGUGCAUUGUUCAAAUCUCCUCCAACCUUCAAAUAAGAUUAGCAGUGUGAGAGGUUAAUCCACCUCUCUAUACGUUAUCUAUCAAUGCCAAGCAUUGUCUGGGAUUGGUGCAAAAGAGAGGUAUAUAAGACGGGAAGAACAUUCAGUAUUUGCAGGCAUUGUCGCAAAACUCCGGAAGGACGAUUGCAGCAAAACUGACAACAUGGACACAAAACCUCAAAAGAAUGCAUGCUCUGAAAAAGACGUUCAUAAUAUCUCAGCCAUGGAUUUAAGAAAAAAUAAAGAAGGACACGUGAAAAUUGAGCUUGACACGCCACCAGAAUCAAAGAAAUGGAGAGAUAUGAAUGGAAAAGAGAGGGCAAUGAGGCUAUUUUUGAUUUGCGGGAAAACCGUGGCUUUGCUCGCGCUUCUGUACCUUUUUGUGUGCUCACUGGAUCUCCUUUCUAUGGCUUUGCAACUAGUGGGUGGAAAAGCUACAGGUGAAAUUUUCAGCAACCCUUUGAUGUCGAAUCCGAUGGUUGGCCUGAUGAUUGGCAUUUUGGUCACGGUGGCCGUUCAGAGUUCGUCGACUUCAACGUCUAUUGUCGUCAGUCUGGUCGCGGCAGGAUAUUUUCCCUCUGUGAAGACUGCCAUUCCCAUUAUCAUGGGCGCAAACGUGGGCACAUCUAUCACCAACACCCUGGUGGCCAUCACCAGGAUCAAUAACCGGGCCGAGUUUGGGCUUGCUUUUGCUGGAGCGACGGUGCACGAUAUGUUCAACUGGCUCACGGUUGUCGUCCUUCUCAUAAUUGAAGUGUCUACAGGCUACUUAUUUUAUCUCACGGAAGCAAUCGUGGCCACCUUGGAUUACAAUGAAGGAGCCGAAGACAUAAAAUUAAUAAAAGUCAUCACCGAGCCCUUGACAAAAGCCAUCAUGGAAAUCGACAAGAAUGUGCUCAAUGGUUGGGCUAUGCAAGAUCCUGAUUAUGAUAAUAAAACCCUUUUGAAAGUUUGGUGUGGUGAAGAAAAAUGCGAAUCUCUAUUUGCCUUGUUUGACAUUGGCGACACCGCAACCGGAGCAAUCAUGACUGUCGUUUCUCUAUUACUGCUGUGUGGAUGCUUGAUUCUGAUGGUUAAGUUGCUGCAAAAUGUUUUACAAGGAACCGUGGCUAAGCUAAUUCAGAAGACAAUCAACGCAAACAUCCCAUACGUGCCCUGGCUGACCGGUUACAUUGCCAUCUUGGUCGGUGCUGGAGCCACUUUCGUCCUGCAAUCGAGCUCAGUGUUCACGUCCGCCCUGACCCCAUUGGUCGGCAUGCAGAUCAUUUCCGUGAACCGGAUGUACCCCUUGUGCCUGGGGUCCAACAUUGGCACGACGACGACGGCCCUGAUCGCCGCUCUCACGGCCAGCGCGUCCAAGAUUAAGCUGACGGUGCAGAUCGCGCUGUGCCACUUGUUCUUCAACCUGACUGGCAUCCUCAUUUUCUACCCGAUCCCCUUCAUGCGGUGGCCCCUGCCCAUGUGCAAGAAGCUGGGCCAGACGACCGCCCGCUUCCGCUGGUUUGCCUUCUUCUACUUGCUCAUGUCCUUCUUCGUCAUCCCAGGCAUCGUUCUCGGCCUCUCGCUCGCCGACGAAAACGGCUACGUCCUCAUGGGCGUCGGCAUUCCCAUCCUGUUAAUCCUCGCGCUCGUUGUCAUCAUCAACCUGCUGCAGAAUCGCUUCCCGAAAGCUCUGCCGCCUUUCCUGCGGACUUGGGACUGGCUGCCGCUCUGGAUGCGCAGCAUCGAGCCCGCUGACAGGCUGAUCUCCAAACUUUGCGGAUGUUGCGUCAAAGAUAUGACGGAGGAUGAGAAGGAGGAAAUUGCCAAAAACGAGGAGCUCAACGAAGCCAAGGGCAUUGAAAAUAUAGUGGCACCUGACUAGUGGAAUUAAUGUGAACGAACUUAAGUGCUGCGUUACAAGAACUUAUCGGCAGAGUGUCUGUUUUGCGGCCACUACCAACAACAAGAAGCGCACGGAACUCAAGUUUAAACUGUAAAUUUGUAACACUGCUACGGAUCUCUGCAUCAGUCCUCUCUGUUAUAGGGAGCAGAAAUGUCGCGGACGUCAAUUUUGUGUUUCGCAGUUGCCCUAAUUGCACAGGGCACCUUUGCAUUGCAAAAUGGGCAACGCAUAAUCAAUGGCGGAAACGCAACGGUUGGCCAAUUCAGUUUCCAAGCCUUUCUCCAGAUGAGGUACAGCAAAGUUUGUGUCGGAUCCCUCAUUUCCGACAGCGUGAUUCUCAUCACUGCUGACUGUCUUUUCAAAGACUUGAGCAGUUUCAACAUUACCAUUGGGGCCGUUGAUUACAACAAUUACCAAGCAGAACAUGUUGAAUUCGUUGACUUGUAUGGAUAUAGCUACGUUUUUCAUGAAGAUUACGACAGCGUAUCUGGCGCGAAUGACAUAGCUGCCUUGAUUUUGAAAACCCCAAUUAAAAAUCCAAAAAUCAAGCCGAUACGCUUGCCAUCCAAAUCCCAAAUCAACGAUUUCCUAAAUCGCACUGAAAUCACAAUCCUAGGCUGGGGAGGAGAAACUGGUCGUACUGAACCGAAUCUCCAACAUGCGGACACCUUCACUUUAAAUUUCCUCGACUGCCAGUUUUUGCAUGGCUCAUUACACGUGACUGACGAAAACCUGUGCUUAGACAACACGGUUCCAGGAUCACCGACGGCGUGCUACGAUGGUGACAAUGGCAGCCCAAUGAUUACCAAGGAAAAAGAUGGACAGUAUACCCUGAUCGGUUUCAUGAUCAAAUGGUUUGUGGGUUCUGAGGAGGUUGGUGUUUGUAACUCUCACAUCCCUGUAAUUUACAUGCGCGUGGCCGCUUACCUAGAUUGGUUAGCGGCAAAUACCGGAAUUGAGAUAAGGCCAUGAACAAGUUAUAGUGUAUUAAGUUUGCAACUAAUAAACUGCACGUUGUUUGAUGUGAAAAAUAUUUUUAUCAAUACCUUAUUGUAUCCAAUUCUUAUUUGUUAAAUUAUGUGAUAAGAUGAAUUAUAUUUUGAGGUGUUCA